rnacentral:rRNA from 1 species
CCUACGGGCGGCUGCAGUGAGGAAUAUUGGUCAAUGGACGAGAGUCUGAACCAGCCAAGUAGCGUGAAGGAUGACUGCCCUAUGGGUUGUAAACUUCUUUUAUAUGGGAAUAAAAUGUUCCACGUGUGGGAUUUUGUAUGUACCAUAUGAAUAAGGAUCGGCUAACUCAGUGCCAGCAGCCGCGGUAAUACGGAGGAUCCGAGCGUUAUCCGGAUUUAUUGGGUUUAAAGGGAGCGUAGGUGGAUUGUUAAGUCAGUUGUGAAAGUUUGCGGCUCAACCGUAAAAUUGCAGUUGAAACUGGCAGUCUGGAGUACAGUAGAGGUGGGCGGAAUUCGUGGUGUAGCGGUGAAAUGCUUAGAUAUCACGAAGAACUCCGAUUGCGAAGGCAGCUCACUGGACUGCAACUGACACUGAGGCUCGAAAGUGUGGGUAUCAAACAGGAUUAGAUACCCCAGUAGUC